rnacentral:rRNA from 1 species
UACGAAGGGGGCUAGCGUUGCUCGGAAUCACUGGGCGUAAAGCGCACGUAGGCGGAUCUUUAAGUCAGGGGUGAAAUCCUGGAGCUCAACUCCAGAACUGCCUUUGAUACUGGGGAUCUCGAGUCCGGAAGAGGUGAGAGGAACUCCGAGUGUAGAGGUGAAAUUCGUAGAUAUUCGGAAGAACACCAGUGGCGAAGGCGGCUCACUGGUCCGGUACUGACGCUGAGGUGCGAAAGCGUGGGGAGCAAACAGG